CACACUCCGCUCCACUCUCCCUCUUAUAUAGAAUUAUCUUUUGAAAUCAAAUUGUUCUAUUGUAUAUUCUUGAAUUAGUUGCUCUGAUGACUUGCCCUAGGACUUUCUGUGUGGCCUGAGACCGUUUAGUUUAUCAGAACUGUUUGGAUGUAAAUUCGAAGCAUGCCGGCAGUUGAGAUAUUUAUAUAUAUGCUUUGUUGAUAGGUCGAAAUUUUGGGAAAUGAUCAAAUUACAGGGAAGGCUCUGCCGAAUUCUCGGCAGAAGUUGAAUUUGUAAUAAACUUGAAUUUUAACUAGAAGGGCAAUUUAGUCAUUGUGCCCGGCACCCGCCAAGUGUCGGACACGCACAGGGUUCAGCUCGAAUUUCAAAGUGGAAUUUGGGUCGGGUCCUG
rnacentral:lncRNA from 1 species